rnacentral:rRNA from 1 species
UACGGGGGGCAAGCGUUGUUCGGAAUUACUGGGCGUAAAGGGCUCGUAGGUGGCCAACUAAGUCAGACGUGAAAUCCCCUCAGCUUAAACUGGGGAACUGCGUCUGAUACUGGAUGGCUUGAGUUUGGGAGAGGGACGCGGAAUUCCAGGUGUAGCGGUGAAAUGCGUAGAUAUCUGGAGGAACACCGGUGGCGAAGGCGGCGUCCUGGACCAACACUGACACUGAGGAGCGAAAGCCAGGGGAGCAAACGGG